rnacentral:rRNA from 1 species
CCUACGGGCGGCAGCAGUAAGGAAUAUUGGUCAAUGGACGAAAGUCUGAACCUGCCAAGUAGCGUGAAGGAUGACUGCCCUAUGGGUUGUAAACUUCUUUUAUAUGGGAAUAAAACGUUCCACGUGUGGGAUUUUGUAUGUACCAUAUGAAUAAGGAUCGGCUAACUCCGUGCCAGCAGCCGCGGUAAUACGGAGGAUCCGAGCGUUAUCCGGAUUUAGUGGGUUUAAAGGGAGCGUAGGUGGAUUGUUAAGUCAGUUGUGAAAGUUUGCGGCUUAACCGUAAAAUUGCAGUUGAAACUGGCAGUCUUGAGUACAGGAGAGGUAGGCGGAAUUCGUGGUGUAGCGGUGAAAUGCUUAGAGAUCACGAAGAACUCCGAUUGCGAAGGCAGUUCACUGGACUGUAACUGACACUGAGGCUCGAAAGUGUGGGUAUCAAACAGGAUUAGAUACCCUAGUAGUC